UACGUAGGGGGCGAGCGUUGUUCGGAAUUACUGGGCGUAAAGCGCACGUAGGCGGAUAUUUAAGUCAGGGGUGAAAUCCCGGGGCUCAACCCCGGAACUGCCUUUGAUACUGGGUAUCUCGAGUCCGAGAGAGGUGAGUGGAAUUCCGAGUGUAGAGGUGAAAUUCGUAGAUAUUCGGAGGAACACCAGUGGCGAAGGCGGCUCACUGGCUCGGUACUGACGCUGAGGUGCGAAAGCGUGGGGAGCAAACAGG
rnacentral:rRNA from 1 species